AGCAACUUGGUGAUCCCAGGACCCUGGGGCACCCGCCAGCUUGCUGUAGAGAUUGCAAAAGAGAAAGAGCACAUCAUUUCCAGUUUGCAUCUGUAAAGAACCACAUGUUAAGCUUGGAGCUGACUCACAAAAACAAAGAAAAUUUCAAGCGCUCUUGCAAGAUCUGAGCUGAGAUGAAUCUUUGCACUCAGCAUGGCUGCCCGCCAGAACAGCGGUGCCGGUGAGCCCAUGGCAGGCAGCACUGGUUGCUGUGAGGAGUUCUCUACUCAGCAGGAAAAUUAAAACCCAGCCUUUGUGUGGUCGGAGCUUCCUUCCUCCUUGAUCCUCUUCCUGCCUUUUCCUUGGUCCACAAAUGAUCUCACCUGUGGAGCUGAUGGUCCAGAUAUACCCCUGAUUUGGGCAUCUCCUGGCACAAUGACCCAACACCCAAUGGAAGGUGAGAGCAAACCUAUUUUCACUUCAACUGAGAAGUUGAUGCCGUUAAAUAUCAUUGAUGACCACUGCUGGGUGUGGUGGUGGGCACCUGUAGUCUCAGCCACUUGGGAGACUGAGGCAGGAGGACCACUUGAGCUCAGGAGUGCAUGGCCAGCCUAGGCAACACGGAUUGAUCCUGUAUCAAAAAAUAGAAAAUAGCCAGUAGCUCAGGAGGCAGAGACAGGAGGUUAGCCUCUGCAAAAGUGAGGCGCUAAGUAACUCAGUGAGACCCUGUCUCUAAAUAAAAUACAAAAUAGGGCUGGGGAUGUGCCUUAGUGUCGAGUGCCCCUGAAUUCAGUCUCCAGUAGCCCCCCUCCAAAAAAAGAACAAUAAUGAAAAAUAACCACUCAUGGAAUCAGCAGCCUUUGGAGUUGCUAUUCUAGAACUGUGUGUCACAAUCAAUCUUUGGGAAGCACCGUGUUUUUCCCCAAUCUGUCUUGGACCAGUGCUUUUGUUAAACACAACAGACAAGGAUUACUAAGAUGUGGUCACCCACUUUGAUGUUGCAAAAUAUCCAAUUGCUAUAAAACACUUCUCUCAAUUUUCUUGUCACAGAGCAGAAAUGGGCUGUUUGCAGGUGGCCUGGUCAGUGGCCCGGUCAGUCGCCCACACUGGGAUAGGACAGAAAUUUUCCAUGCUUAUUUCUAUUUCAGACAUGAACACUCUUUUUAUUGUUCUUAUUAAGCUCCAGUGCUGUCAAAUUGACAGCCAGAAAGUCCUUCAUCAGACCGUGCAUCCUGAUUUUCAUCUCCUACUAACUGUGUGUGUGUGUGUGUGUGUGUGUGUGUGUAAGUCGGUGUUGGUUCUUGGGCAUGAUGGAGAGCUUGAUAUGUUCAUAUGAUCCAAGUCCUGGAACUGAUUUUGAUUCUUCCAGUAACAUGCUGAUUUUUUUUUUCUUUGUCUUUUUUUGCUCAAGUUGUUGGGGAUGGAACCCAGGGUCUCACACAGGCUAGGCAAGCGCUCUGCCACUAAGCCACACCCCCAGCCCCCAACGCCCAUUCUUAAUCAUUAGAUGAAGAGGUUCUCACAUCACUAUCGCAGAUAUUCUGAGAAGGAAGGUCCCUUAGCUCUGCGGUAGAAACCACAUUAAGAGCCUCUGCCAAAAUAGAAACUGCAGGGCCUACUUCAAAGAAUUCCCAUGCACACAUUUAUAAAAUUCUGCAGAGCACACAGUUAAAAGGAGCGUGGGACCAUUCUCCUCCUUGCUGCUUUUCUGUAUCAUUCUGCUCUGAAUCCCUUCCCACCACAUGCAGCUUCUCAAAUGUUCUAGUUACUAUGUUUGAAUUUUUGUUAAGCCGAUAAUUUGGUUUUCUAUGUUCCCUCGCCCAUAUUUUUUUUUCUUAAAGAAAAAUUAAAAGCAAUGCAUUACCAAAUAUGACAAGCUCCUAAAAUACACCAUGGAAUGCAGUUCAACGAGAUUCAGUCACUGACAUCAGCGAGUCGUUUCUGUGAUGAUGGAGCUGGCACAGACGUUGAGACUCGUGAGGCCGUGAACUUGUUCAUUUUAAUGCUCAGACCAAGUUCUCUCUUUUUCUCUGGUAAUGUUCUGCAAUGUUUUGGAGUGACGUUAGGCCUGUCCCAUAAAACACUGGGAGGUGUUCCCUCCUCUGUUUCCCGGAACAGUUUGUAUACCAUCAGUUUUAUCAUUUCUUUUAACAUUUGAUGAAAAUCUUGUGAAACCAUCUGGGCCCAGAGUUCCCUUGGGGGGAAGGUUUAUGACAACAAGAUUUCUUUCAUGAAUACAGGGCUAUUCAGAUUUUCCUCUUCGUCUUGUGUAGACUUUGGCCAAUAUACUUGACAGGGAAUUUCUUGAUUUCAUCCAUUGGGCAAAAUGAUUGGCAUCCAGUUACAAAAUUAGCUUGUGAUUCUUUUAAUAUCUAUGAUCUCUGAAGCAAUAACCAGUCUUUCACUGCUGAUACUUGUGAUUUGUCUUUUGUUUCCAUUUUUCUGGAUUACUUAGUUUUGAAUUUAUUUAUUAUCUUGUUUUUAAAACUCUGGGUUUAGCUUUGUCACUUUUUUUUUUCUAAUGUUUGUUUUCUAUUUUGUUGGUUCGUAUUCUUCCAUUUUGGUUUUAGUUUGUGUUUAGCCUCUUGAGGUGGAGUCUUAGGUUCUUGAUCUUAGACAUUUCCUCUUUUCUACUGUAAGUCUCUGAAAGCGUAAAUUUCCCUCCUUGUACAUGCUUUACGUGAUUCCCAUACAUUUCUCUGUGUUUUGUUUCUGUUCUUAGUCAAUUUGAAAUACUCUCUAAAUUCUUUGUGAUUGAUUUUUUGAAACAUGGGUUAUUUGGCAGCACGCUACUUUACUGUCCUACAUGGGGGUGGGGGGAGUUCCUGGAUAUGUUAUUGAUUUCUAAUUUAAUUCUAUUGUGGUCAGAGAACCGAUUUUGUGUGAUUUCAGAUAUUUAAAAAAAGUUUGAGAAGUCAUACUAAGACCCAGCACAUAAUUUGUCUUAGUGAAUUUUCUACGUGGACUUGAAAAGGAAUAGCAGUUAGAUUCAGAUAUGCGGUGCUGAUACUCAGUUCCUGUGUCUCCUGACACUUUUUCUAAUUAAUCGAUAUGUGGUUGAGAGAGAAGUGUUAAAUCUCACUAUGACUGAGGAAUUGUUUCUUUCUCCAAUAAACUAAACAAAGAACGAGAUUUCUUCCACGUGAUAAAUGGCAUCUGUGAAAAACCUAGAGCCAACCUGCUACUUACUCUCGAAACAUCAAGUACUUUCUACGAUCAAGAAAAAGAUAAGGAUUCUCCCCACCCCCCCAACAUACACACACACUCUCUCUCUCUCAUCACUUUUAGUCAACACCGUUCUGAGAACCUCACUGGGGCAAUAAAACAAGAAAAAGAUGUAAAAGGGAUAAAUAUUGGUGGGGAAAAAAGUAAAAUUCUAUUAGAACAUGACAUGAUUGGUUACAUAUAAAAUCUCAAGACGCCUACAAAACUAGUAGUAUAAGAGACAAUAUUUGGCUUUUGGAUUUUGGCAUUGACUUACUUCACUUAGCAUGAUAUUCUCUACCUCCGUCCAUUCUCUCUGAUAAAUGGAUGCUGGUCCAAAACGGGAGGGGGGAGGCACGGGAAAAAAUGGAGGACCUUUGGGCAAAGGGAAGGGAGGUUGGGGAGGGUGCCUGGGGCCAGGAAAGUUGGUAGAAUGAGAUGGACAUUAUUACCCUAGAUACAUGUAAGACUGAACAUAGGGUGUGAUGCUACCUUAUGGACAACCAGAGAAAUGAAAAGUUGUGCUACAGUUGUGCACAAUGAAUCAAAAUGCAUUUUGCUGUUAUACAUUGCAGGAUAUAAAAAAAAAAACAAGAAAACAAUUGUGCUAGACAUGGUGGUGCAUGCCUGUAAUCCCAGUGACUCAGGAGAUUGAGGCAGGAGGAUCAUGGGUUCAAAGCCAGUCUCAGCAACUUAGUAAGGCCCUAAGCAACUCAGCAAGACCCUGUCUCAAAAAAUAAAAAAAAUAAUAAUAAAGGGCUGGGGACAUGUGACUCAGUGGUUAGGCAACCCUGGGUUCAAUCUCUAGUACCAAAAUAAAAAACAAAACAAUUGCAUAGGUACAUACUAGGAGUGAAGAAUUAGAAAAUGAAAAAAUUUAAAACUCCACUUAUAACAACCUUAAUAAAAUAUUUUAACAUAUAUGUAAGAAAUAUGUAAGUCCUCUAGUCCUCUUCAAAGAAAAUUACAGAAUAUUGCUAAAGAGACACUUUAAAAGGCCUGAAUCCAUGAAGGGACAGCAUCCCAAUCUCAUUUGGAUUGGAAGCUAAAUAACAUUAAGACAGAAGAAAUCCUUUCUCUUCAAACUGAUCUAUAGAUUGUAUUCAAACUGAUCUAUACAUUGUAUGUAGUCCCAAUGAGAAUACCAGCAAGGUUUUGCGUAGAAAUUGAGAAGCUGAUUCUAAAAGUUACUUGGAAAUGCAAAGGACCUAGACUAGUCAAAGCACUUUAUACAAAGUUGGAGGGCUGGCACUACCUCAUUGCAAGCUUCCUAUAAGGCUGCAGUGCUCAGGUGGUGUGAUACGGCUCAAAGGACAGAUGCAUGAUUCCCUGAGCACAUCAGAGACAGGCGAAUCAAUGCCCAUGGAUUGAGAUGUGCAUUCAAUUCAAUAAGGAAAGAAAAGUCUUUGCAACAACUGAAUAACUAUAUGUGAAGAAAAUAAGCAUCAUCCCUUAUUGUGUUCAUGUACAGAUUUACUUAUAACGAUAGUAUUAUAAAACUCCUAGGAGCUGGGCAUAAUAGCCCAGUUGGCAGAGUGCCUGCUUCACAUGCACAAAGCCCUGGUUCAAUCCCCAGCACAACAAAACAAAACAAAAAUGACAACAACAACAAAAAACCUCCUAGAAAUAUGGGGAAAAAAAUCUUUGUGACCUUGAGUAAGCAAACUUUUUUUUUUUUUUACACACAGGAUACAGAAAGCACAAACCAUAAAAAAUUGAUAAAUUGCACUUUAUCAAAAAUUUAAAACGUUUGCUCCUCAAAAGUUACCAUGAGGUAAACAAAGGGCAAGUCAGAGAAUAAGAGAACAUAUUAGCAAUAUUGGGUCUGACAUACGAUUCAUAGCCGUAAUAUAUAUAUAGCAAUUAAAUCCAACAUUAAAAAGGCAAAUUAUUUAAAAGAUAUUUCAUCAAAGAAGAUGAGAAUGGCCAAAGUUAAAUAAAAAACACAUGAAAAGAUUUUCAACAUCAUUAUUUUUCCUGGGUAAAGCAAACCAAAUUGCAAUGAAACAUCCUUACGCAGCCACUGGAUGAAAAUCAUGAACCAACAAUACCAAAUCAGUCUUGGUGGGAUUGUAAGGGAUACAAACACUUCAGAAAAUUAUUGAACAGAUUCUUAAAGUUUAGCAUAAACUUGUUAUAUGAUGCAGUUUCUACACUUCUCGGUAUUUGUGUGUGUGUCCACACAAAGACCUAUAUGUAGUGAAUGGUUUGUUUGGUACCAGGGAUUAAACUCAGGGGCACUUAACCACUGAGCCACAUCCCCAGUCUUUUUUUUUUUUUUUGUAUUUUUAUUUAGACACAGGGUCUCACUGAGUUGCUUAGUGCCUCACUAAGUUGCUGAAGCUGGCUUUGAACUCAAUCUCUUGAGCUGCUGGGAUUAUAGGCGUGCACCACUACACCUAGCUUUAGUGAAUGUUUUUGCACAACCCCUCCAAAUAGGAAAAUCCCUAAUGUCUCUCUACAGGUGAGUGGAUGAUUACUCUGUAGUAUGUCCACUACAGAAGAAUACCAGGCAGCAAUAAAAAGAAAUGAGCUAUUGACACUCAUUCUGCAGAAAGGAAUCUCAGAAUGUACAAUUUCACACUGCAAAAACAGAAGGAAAAUGUUCUUGUGACCUAUUGGAAAUCAUGUAUGACUCACCAUUUCAAGCGGAAGACAAUUCCUAAAAGUUUAACAAAAAGGUUUAUUCUUUCCGUAAAGACUUAUUUUCUUUCGAAUUGGACUGUCACACAUUGGAUUUGCUCAAAAAGGUUCAAAUCAAUUCAUAUCUUACAUUUUCAUUGAGUGUAUAUGUAAGUGUUGGCAUUAAGUCACCUCUAGCUUUUUUUGGUAAAGUUUGUCCUCCAGGAAAUUGGUGCUAGAGGAUGAAAAUGAGGCUAAAUCUUAAUAAAUCAUUUUUCUAAGAAGCAUCAUCUUAGUUUGUUGCAGAAGUGAAAGAUUAUGAUUUUUUGAUGUCGCUGUGAAGAUGAGUAUUUUUUUAAAGAGAGAGAGAGAAUUUUUAAUAUUUAUUUUUCAGUUUUCUUUGGAUACAACAUCUUUAUUUUAUUUUAUGUGGUGCUGAGGAUCGAACCCGGCGCCCCACGCAUGCCAGGCAAGCGUGCUACCACUUGAGCCACAUCCCCAGCCCAAGAUGAGUGUUUUUAAGAGAACAGAAAAAAAUGUAUCUAGAUGUUCUUCUUCUUCUUUAUGACUAGUAUAUUCUAGAGACAAUGCAAAUUAAACUUGGGUUUUCAGUUUGGUUUGCUUAUUUGAGAGACCCGGGCUGGGGCUGGGGCUGGGGUUCAGUGGUAGAGCACUUGUCUAGCACGUAUGAGGCACUGAGUUCAAUUCUCAGCACCACAUAUAAGUAAAUAAAUAAAAGUCAAUCAACAACAGAGAGAGAGAGAGAGAGAGAGAGAGAGAGAGAGAGAGAGAGAGAGACCCUUAUGUUUUCUUGACCCCUCUUCAUAAAUCCUGUUGAGUAGGAAAUUGAUCUUGGAUUCUUUCUGAUUAUGCAGUUAAAGAUCACCCACUUUAGUUGUUUGAUGGUGUUUGCAUUCACGUUGGGCAGUCACCCAAGGCACCCAUUUCCAGCUCCAGGCAGGUAACAUCCUAAGGUGCCCCCCACCCCCCACACACACAGUGCAGCUUCCCCUGCCGGAUCUGAGAGCCUCCUCCUGUGACUCCCUGACUCCCAGGAUGAUCCCUUUAUACGAGGGAACUUUGCAGAUAUAAUCAAGGUUAUUCACCAGUUGACUUAAAAAUGGGGAGAUUAUCUGGACGAGACUAAACUCAUCAUCAGUCCUUUGAAAUCCAAGUUUUCUUUGGCUGAUAACAGGAAGGGAAGUUAGAGAGACUGACAGUGGAUUUCUAUGGCUGGCUUGGAGAUGAGGAGGCUGUGGGACAAGGACCUGGGUGAGAGAGAUCUGAAGGAGCUGAGGACACCCAAGGCUCACAGCCAGCAGGACAUGGGGACUCCAGAAGUGGCAAGGAUCUGAAUAUGGCUGGAUUUCCCCCCCCCCCCCCCUGAGCUUCUAGACAACAGACCUGGACUUUGACCUUCUGCAACUUUGAGCAGAGAACCUAGUUGGGCUGGCUUGGGUUUCUGACGUACAGAACCGGGAGAUAACAAAUGGGUGUUGUUUUAAGCUGUAAAGUUUGUUAUGCAGUCCUAGAAAUUUAUUAUUUGUUAUGCAAUAAUAGAAAACGAAUACACAGCUAUCGUGCAAUCUCAGUAAUAAACCAUUUGAUUUGUUCCCAGUUUUAUUGCUGUUUCCUGGAAUAAUGAAUGCCAUUCAUUUUUUUUUUAAUUUUUAUUUUUUUAGUUAUGGACCAAAGUAUUUUGUCUGUUUUCUAAACCUUUGUGAGAAUUCAGGCAAACUGCAGCCUACCUUCUUGGGAUGGCUCCUGCUCGUUCUUGCCACUCAGUGUGUGAUCUGUGGACCAGCAACAAGAGCAACACUAGGGAGCUUAUUAGAAACUCAGAAUCUUGGGCCUUCCCCAGAGCUCCUGAUGCAUAAGCUACCUCUGAGAUCCCUCCCGUGAUUUGGGUGCUCAUUAAAGUUUGAGAAGUGUAACUGUUACCCUCAAACUGCAGAGUAUGCUUUUAUGGAGUUUAAACCCCCCAAACCACCACCUGUUAGCCCAGACUGGAGCCUAGACUGCUCCUCUCCCGGGUAGUGGGGCUUCUUCUGUUCCCGAGUCCAAAUCUGGCCAAUUAUCAGGGAACUUUGACUCUGAUUCUUCUUCCUCUGGGUCUCUGAACCUCCUCUAGGUUCUAUGCCUGUACUUGAGGGGUCACAUUUCCUCAGCCACAGUGGGACCUGGCUGCCCCAGGUCAUUUCUACUUAGGGAACCAAAGCCCACCCCCACCCUGAUUGUGUGUAGUUAAGAAAUGCCUUGAAACAAAGGCAUGUGAGCCCUGUCCCCAACUGUGCCUGUCAUAAUCAUAUACCAGAGACAGGCAGGUGACGGCUCCCAGGCUCCGGGAGCUUCCUGCAGCCCUCAGAGAGGGUGUGGGUGACAGUGUGGGCAACUUCUUCAAGCACACACUGCAGGUGGCGCAGGGGAUUGAGGCCAGUGUCCUCUGGAACGAGCACAUCUGGGCUAAUGUCUUUGCCCCUCUCCUGUCUCUCCCCCCUGACUUCGCCUUCCCAGGGAAUGGGAAUGGGAAUGCUCUCACCCUGCACUCUCACCUGGCUUCCGCUUCCUGGGUCAGCCCUCUCAUCUCACCUCCCCCCACACUUUUGUUCAACCCACAGACACCGAGGUUCUAAUUCCUUCAGGAACCCUUCCUUUGAAUUUUCCCUCCCAACGUCUCAGUGAGGGGCCCCUGGCCAUCACCUCCGUGGUGUCUGGGCCAUCCAUUGUAGCACAAAACCACUCCAAAUUCAGGGCUCAAACAACCAUCUAGCUUUGCUCACAGUUCCGCAGGUCAGGAGUGCAGGAAGAGCUUAGCUGGGGGCUCUUUUCUCGGGGCUCCUCUGUAGAUUCAGUGAGGUGUCAAGCUGGGGCAAUGGUCAGUUUUGGGUUUGACUGGGCUGAUCAUCCAAGAUGGUGGCUGGGGAUGUCGCCUCUUGGCUGGGAGCUCAGGAGGCACUUUGACUGGAACACCUACACCUGGCCUCUUCUCAGCCUGUCUUGGUUGGAAUGUGUCCCCCAGAAGUUCAUGUGUUGGGAACGUAAUCCUCAUAUUCCUAUGUUAAUGCUAUUUGAACGUGGAGUCUUUGGGAGACAAUUAGGGUUGGAUGAGGUUGUGAGGCUGGGGUUCCCGUGAUGCAUCAGUGGUAGCUCUAGAGAGACCCAAGCUGACCCUUGCUCCUUCUCAUCACGCGGCGCUCCCUGCAGGACAUGAUAGAGCAAGGAGGCCCUGACCCAAUGCUGGUUCUUACUCUUGGACUUCCUAGCCUCCAGAAGCAUAAACCCAAUAAACUUCUGUUCUUUAUAAACUACUCUCCUAACAAAAGAUAGCAGCGGAAAAUGCACUAAGAUAACAGGAGUUCCCCAAAAACAGAGGCCUCCAAGCUUUCUGUGGUCUUGCCUUAGAACUUCUACAAGUCUCAUGCUCCACAUCUCCAUUGGUGAAAUGGGUCAUGUAAGUCAGCCCAGAUUCCAGAAGAGGGGACUUGGGGCCCCCCUUUAGUGGCAGGAACAGCUUCCUCAGUUGCACUUGACCAUGGGCCUCCCUGAUCACAGCUCCCUCCAGCAGGCACCCCAUCUUCUUGCAGGGUGGGGGUCCCUCGUCACAUGGGUUCUCCAGCCCCGUCCACACCUAUCUGUAGACUGAUGAAAUGAAUCAAAACAAAACUCAGCAAAACUGGGGGAGAGACAACCGUGGAAAUGUACAGAAGCAACCCAGAUAGGAUGUGUGUUUGUUGUGUGCGUCGCUAGACUUAAAGCACAGGGAGAGUUGAUCAGUCUGGUCUGUCCCAGGGAGGGUGUCCACUGUGGAUCUGAGCCCUUGAUUUAGAGAGCCUCUGAACACUUCUUCUUCUUCUUCUUUUUUUUUUAAACCAGGAUUUGAACUCAGGGGUGCUUGGCCUCAGAAGCAUAUCCCCAACCCCUUUUAUUUAUUUAUUUUUAUUUUGAGACAGGGUCUCACUAAGUUAUCUUGAGGCUGGCUUUGAACAUGGGAUCCUCCUGCCUCAGCCUCCCAAGCCACUGGGAUUACAGGCGUGUGCUAACUGUGUCUGGCUGUAAAUAAAUGCUUCUUAACGGAACAGUUUGUUGUGGUGACUGUCACAGAAGGACUUUAGCCUGGAAGCCAGGUAGGCGUAGGGGCAUGGGGCACAUCCCACACCUUUCUAACGUGGAGGAACGGGGUUUCUCUACUGGUCUUCCUGGGAGAAGAUUCUCUGAGCUCUUAGUAGUGCCCACUCAAGCCCCUGACAAUACCAGUUACCAGAAGGGCCUCCCAAGCCUUCUAUCAAGGGCAUCUCUGCAGCAAGGGUUGUGCUGAGCUUGUGUUAGGAAAACAGCUCUCUCACCAAUACUCAGGCAAAAUGAGCUUCUGCAGCCCCCUGUUAAACUCUCUAGUUUGCAGAAAUUUAUUUACAGCAAAAUGCUGGUUUCCCCACAAACAUCCUGCUUGGCUAAAUAUAUCGCCUGCUCCUAGAACACGGCCUGUGGUCAUCGAGUGUGGGUUUUGCCUUCCUUUCUGCACACUGCACUCUAUGUCCUCUUUCCCUCCUGUGGUCCUUGGGCAUUAGGGGGAUGGGGACCUCAGCCCCAGUCUCUUCUAACACAGGCAUCUCAGAGCACAAGCCCUGCACCAGGCAGACCUGUGACAGGUCUGUGACCAGGAAGGAGGAUGCGGGUGUGCAGGAGCAGGGCCUGCGGGAGUCAGGUUUGGUCCACUGCUGGGCACGCUUUUUUUUUUUUUUUUUUUAAUCUAACUCACCUGAGAGAGCUUUUUGGGUGAACCUUGCCCUGCUGGGUCUCUGUGACCAAUGGAAGGACUUGGAGACGCUCAUAUCUGAAGGGACAGCCCUGCCUCCCACCAGAAGCCCAGGUGCAAAGCAAUGGCUGCUGGGAACACUGAGUGCAUCCAGGGAGUGGCCAGCCUGGCCGUGUCCAUCCCCCGGGCAAGGAGAGGCCAGGGCCCUGCAGGCAAGGGAGGAAAAGGGAAGAAAUCCAAUCCCACGCUGUUUCUCCUCACACGACAAGAAGGCGGUGGCACCAGGAAGCUGCAAAGAGCAGAGACUGCUUAGGUCAUGCUGGUGAGCGGGCCCCAGCCCAGAGCUCAACCCUAGGGAUCUCCAAGGAGAAGGAAUUGCUCCCCCCCCCCCCCCCCCCCCCCCCCCCCCCCCCCGNCCCCCUCCCCCUCCCCCUUUCCUCCCCUCCCCCUCCCCCUCCUUUUCUUCUUUUUCUUUCUCUGUACCGGGGUUUGAGCCCAGGGGUGUUCUACCACUGAGCCACAUCCACAGCCCUUGUGUUCUGAGACAGGGUCUUGCUAUGUUGACCAGGCUGCUGUCAAACUUGAUAUCUUACUGCUUUACCUCCUCAGUCUCUGGGAUUACAGGUGUGCACCACCAUGAUGAGUUCUCUUUCUUUUCCCCGCCUUCUCUCCCUUCUCUCUCUUUCUGUGUCUCUUCCAUAUAGAGAAAUGGGGCACAAGAAAUAUUGGCCUUAGGUGAGAAGAACAUGGGCCGUAGGUGAGAGUGUGAGUGUGGCGGGAUCUGGGCCACGGGUUGCUUUUCCUAAUGCUCCAGAUGAGUUGCCUUGACACACCUGUGCCAUCUCUCAGAGCCCCAUGUCUCACCUGGAUAUUGGGGUCUCUGUGCAUCCACACUAGGGUUUUACGAGGGUUAAACCUGUCAUGUUAUAUAUAAAGCCUGCAACACAGGGCCCCACACAGAGUGAGCGCUCAAUAAAGAGCAGUUGGUGUCUUUUAUUCUGUGGUUUUGUGACAAAUAGCAUUAACGAAGCAUCUACCUGACAGUAGAAAGUUCACAGCCGCCGCCGCCUGGGUCUUCCCCACCAACGCUUUCCUAGCUUUCACUUACCUGUUAUGAACCCUCACAGGAAGCUGGCCUUUGGGCCAUCUCACAUGGUCUGAGCCAAUUCUAUUGCUGCUGUUCAUCUAGUGGCCCCAUAAAUACCAAACAGCCUUCCAGAACCUUCGUGGCCUUGAGAGUCCUGCUCAGAUCCAGGCUAAGUCUUGGAGUUGUCUUUGAUCUGAAUCCUCCAUGACCAAGAUAUCAAAUGACUGUUUAAGAAGAGUUAAUAACACAGAGAGUAUCUCCUUAUUUGAGCUUUUACUUUCUGCAGUUUUAGUUAACCAAGGCUGUCUGCGAUCUGAAAAUAUUAAAUAGAAAAUUUCAGAAAUACAGAAUUCUCAACUUGUUCUUUUUUUUUUUUUUGAGAUGGGUCUUACUAUGUUGGGACCAGGCUGGACUUGAAAUCCCAGGCUCAAGAGAUCCUCCCACCUUGGCCUCCUGAAGCCCAAGUCAAUGUACCUAACUCCAAUUUGUGAGUUUUAAAGGGCACACACUCUUCUGAGUGUUUUGAUGAAAUCUCAUACCAUUCUGCUCCUUGCCACCUGAAACAUGAAUCAACCCUUUGGUCAGUGUAUCCACACUGUGUACCUUACCCACCCAUUAGUCACUCAGCAGUUUAUCAUAUGGACUAUUGUGGUUGUAGUGCUUCUAUUCUAGUAACCCUAUUUUAUUUCAUAAUGGCCCUCAAGCACAAAAAUAAUGAGGCUGAUAAUUCAGAUAUGUAUGCCAAAAAGAAGCCAUAAAAUACUCCUUAUAAGUGAAAAGGUGGAAAGUUCUUGACUUAAUAAAGAAAAAAAAUCAUAUGUUAGAUUUUCUAAGAUCUGUGCUAAGAAGGAAUGAGUGAAAUGUUGAGGAAGGGAAAAGAUAUUCAUGCUGAUUUUGCUGUCACAUCUCAAAGUGCAAAGUCAAGGCCAGAAUGUGUGGUAACUGCUUUGUUAAGAGAAAAAGGCAUUAAAUUAUAGGGUUCAACACUGUCCAAGGUUUCAGGUAUCCACUGAGGGCCUUGGCACAUAUGCCUGGUGGGUAAGGGGGCAUUACUGUACUUUCUUGUGUACUGAAAUGAUUUCAUGGUGCAGACUGGUAAGUAAGGUGCACUUUAAAAAAACAGCCAUCAUGCUGUAUUUGAGGAAAUUACUGUCCCCCCCCCCCGAAUUCUUUAGUAUCUGAUAAAUUUCUUCAAAACACAAGUUGUCUUUUCCUAAUGCACAAAACUGGCAUCUUUACACUCUGAAAACCAAGGGUGAAAUAGUCCAGAAUCUUCUUAGACCUACUUCCAAGUGUCAGUUGGAGCCUGAGGGGACUGUCCAGGUGUUGAUGCCGCAGCCAGGUGGCAUGGCCCUUUCAGUUCCGACUCUCUCAUCCAUCCUGGGGUCCCAGGCAGAUGGUGAAGGGAUCCUAGUCAUGGUCAUAGGUCAACUUUCCUCCCAUGUUCUGCCUAAGCGUGGUGGGGAAGUGACCUCAGAGUGUGAGAGGGUCUCACGCUUGUUCGGCCGACUCACAGAGGGCUCCCCGGCAGCCUGAGACCCCCUAACCCAGCUGCAGACAGAGAACUGGGGAACCCAGAGAGCAGGAAAAAAAUGAAUGGACCUAAAGUGACUGGAGUGAUCAGGGUUGCCCAGGGCCCAGGAUAAUGUGGGAUCCCUGCCCUGGUGAGGGGACUCGGGCAGCACCAGCAGCAGGGGAGACAGUCCUCCAUCCCUGGGAAGAGGCUGGUCCCUCCCACUCAGACUCUGUCCCCAACACAGAAAGAAGGGGAGUGGGGCAGGGGCGGGACCUGCCUCUACCCUCCUACACACACCUUCAGAUUGUCACCCCACCUGGUGACAGUCAUAGAUCCACGGCAUCUGAGGGUUUUCUUGGAUUGCCAGGAGAGUUUUGGUCCCCUCUGUGGACAUGAAGAGAUGUUUGAAGAUAUGAAGCCAAGUUCACUCAGGGUACAGGGAGCAGGCAGCGAGAUGGGGGCUUUGAAGUCGUGCUAUCUGAAUCCCAUGCUGGGAUGUGAGUGAGGCCCAGGAGGAGGGCACCACUGUACAGGGAGUGACAAAGUACACAACCCAUGGGAGCUUUAUCUGAUUCCCCAUUAUUUGGUCUAAAAUAACUGAGACCCCACUUUAUGCUCUCACUGUGCUGAGGGUCUUAGAGGACCCCGGGCUCCUAAGGCUUCUGCCUGAUGCCCUCUGUCUGGCUUCUGUGUGCUGUGCAUGUUGCCAAUCCCUGUGGCUCCAAGGGAGCCUGUCCUUGAGCUGCCCUUGGGCUACCUGUGAGCUGGAUGGCCUGAGUGUGAGCAGAGAACCUGGUGACAGGUCUUUGUGCCGUUGAGGAUGAGGGCUGCGUUCACUCCUCUCUCUUGCCCUCUGCUCUGGUCCUACCCUGACUUGUUCCCAGCUGCUUGCUGAUGGCCACUGCUCCCCAGGCUCCUAUGGGAUGCAGCUGAACACAGACACUCCAGAGGGGAGUGUUGAGAGUGGCAGGCAUUGGCAAGUAGGGAGCCUUCCGCAUCUGUGGGGUCUGUGUUCUGGGAUUCAAUGCAGCACAGGUUGAAAAUAUUCAGAGGAAAAAUUGUGUGUGUGUUGACCAUGGACAGGCUUUCCCUUGUCAGUAUUCUUCCAACACUACAAUGUUCAACUCUAGAGUAUUUGCAUCAUAUGAGGUACUAUCAGUUAUCUAGAGAUGAUCUACAGUCUGUGGGGGGAAGUGCGUAGGUUAUAAGCAAAUACCAUGCUGUUUCACAUCAGGGCCUUGAGAGAAAAGAGGGGUGGUACUGCUCGUGGGGGGGGAGGAGCCCUCCCUGGAAGUGGUGAUGGACACCGAGACACAAGCACGCAGGGGAGGGAUUGGCCAGACGACGGGGGAGGGAGGACUUGUGCCCUGUACCGGGGUCAUGGACAGCAGUGACAUGACUUUGGGUACAGCAUAAAGGGCUGGGUGAUGGGAGUCAACAGAAGCUUAGGUAGGGUCCCCUGUGACCAAGGAGGGACUAGAGAGGACAGACUCAGCAAGGGGUGGAGGCAUGAGGAGCGAGGCUCAGGAUGGCCACCCUGCUCCUUCUCAUUUGAGAAAUGGGACGCCUGGGGUCGAUUCCUAGGCCGGGAGCACAGGACAGGGGAGGGGCUCCUAGUGGACCUGGUGCUCCACAAUGGGACAAUGACAUCACGAUGUCAUAGCAGGGAAGCUGCUAAACAGACCCUUAGAAUGAUCCUUCUGUUUUACUGGAAUGGAACCACCAUUGGACCCAGUCAUCCCACUCCUAGGUUUAUACCCAAAGGACUUAAAAUCAGCAUAAUAUAGUUAUGUGAUCACAUCAAUGUUUAGAGCAGCUCAAUUCACGGAAGCUAAACUACAGACCAACCCAGGUGCCCUUCAACAGACGAAUGGAUAAAGAAACUGUGGUUUCUGUGUGUGUGGGGGUGGGUGGGUGUAUUAUGGAAUAUUACUCAGCCUUAAUGAAGAAUGAAAUUAUGGCAUUUGCCAGUAAAUGGAUGGAACUGGAGAAUAUCAUGCUAAGCAAAAUAAGUGAGUCCCAAAGAAUCAAAGGCCAAAUGUUUUCUCUGAUAUGUGGCGAAUGCUAAUUCACAAUAAGGAGGGGAGAAAAAGGAUGGGAGGGGGCCUGGGGGUAGGAAUGAUAGCAGAAUGAAUCAGACAUUAUUAACCUAUGUGCGUAUAUGACUUCAUGACCUGUGUAACUCUACAUCACGUACAACCAGAAGAAUGAGAAGUUAUACUUCAUUUACGUAUAAUGUAUUAAAAUGCAUUCUACUGUCAUGUGUACCUAAUUAGAACAAAUAAAAAGAAUGAUAUUUCUGUUUUUUGAACAUCCUUUUUAUGAAUUUGGCUACAGAGUUAAGUCACUUAAUGUUUUCCUUAAAAGCAACUUUUAGACAGGGUUGGGGACCCAGAGCAGGAGUAGAACACUUGCCUAAUAUGCACGAGGCCUUGGACCAGAGAUCCCUAGCACCAGAGAAAAAUAAUUUUUAGACAUAUUUUAAAAUAAACCUCUGCUUAUCUCAAGCAAUUUUGCCUGUGAGAUAUCACAAGUUAGAUAUGCAGGCAUCGCUAAGCUGUUAGGAUUACUGAAGUAUAGGAGUCUGGGUGCUUACACCUAAGAGCACCCUGCAUGCCUCACCCUUGGCUGUGACCCUGGUCUUUUGGAAAUAGAUGGAUUUGGAUCCCAGGCACCACGAUGCCCAUUUUCAGUAGUGCUUUUUUAUGCUUGGACAUUGGGUACUUCUCCGAAAAAUGAGAAUGCCACAACAUGCACAUCUGAACAUCUGAAAUUGUUUUUUUGUUGUUGUUGUUUGUUUUGGGUGCUGGGAUGGAACCCAGGGCUUCUGGAAUACCAGGAGAUCACUGUCCCACUGAACCACACCCUCAUCCCCUGUUGUUCCAUGUUCACACAUAUCUUUUUUUUUUUUUCUUGGUUCCUCUGUUUGCUGGGUGUUGUCUAAUACAGCAGGCGAAGGACUACUUGGUAACAGUGCAUGGGGAGGGGUCCAUCAGCGACUGUGGAGUGGGGUCUUCUCUAAGAUAUGACCCCAAGCAUUUGGCCCGCCUUCAGAGACCUACCCAAUUUGCCGAGUAUUCUGGAGAAGAUUGUGAAAGCAGUGUCCUAGCUGCACGGCUGUCUCCCUGAAGAUUUUGACUCAGUAGUCCCGGACAGACUGACAGUCCACAUUUGUAGCAAGCUCCCAGAGGGGCCGAGCACCAGGAAAUGAGCCCUGUUUCUCUGCCUGGGCUUUUAGCUCCAUGUCUCCCCGAGAUUAACAUCAAAACUGCAUGUUUACCUCCCACAGGUUUGAAAACUUCACAGUGAAUUCAAUACUGUGCCUAAAACCAAGUGAGCUCCACCCAGUCUGCACGUCUCUCUGCUGUGGCCUACCCAUCUCUACACCUGGAAGUGGCAGGGUGGUCCCAUCACACCCAGGACCUGGGAAAACUAAUUAGAGGUGGCACCCAGAGUCCCACGGUGCCCACACCUCCUUCUGCAUCCCUCUCCCUGCGGGACCCACUGCCCACAUAUCCUCUUAGGUCUUUGCUUUACCUGUCACCAAAAAAGAAACCUUGCCAGGUAACCUCAGAGGGCUUUUCCAAUGAGACCAGGGCCAUUUUUUUUUUUAGUUGUUGAUGGACAUUUAUUUAUUUGUUAAUUUAUAUGCGGUGCUGAGAAUGGAACCCGGGGCCUCACACAUGCUAGGCACGUGCUCUACCACUGAGCCACAACCUCAGCCCCAAGACCAGGGACUUUUGAUCUUAAAUCAUCUUUUCAUCUUUUCCAGCACGUGGUCAAAGGACCUCUGGCCUCCUCCCUAACUUCCAGGAAAGAGGCCUCAAACGGUAUUUGCACUGCCGGUGCCCACGCCAGCCGGCUUUCCAGACCAGGCUGUACCCAGGCCCAUCAGGGACACAGACCCUGCCAGGGACAGUGGGAAGAACCACAGGCUAGACCAGGGCCACUGGAACUUCAUUUGUGAAGGAUCAGAUAGGAGGUCUUUCGGGUUCGGUGAGACACUCGCGUCCCAUCCCAACUCAUCCCCACCUCUGCGCCCACAGGUGAGAUGUGAAGGGAAAGGUUCCCUGUGUUCCAGGAAGGCUCCAUUCACAAACAGCAGGCAUCGACUCGGUUUGGUCCACGUGCUGUAGUCUGCUGCAGCAUUUCUCAGACUUUGAACAGCACAGAGAUGUCUGUGCCAGGAGAGUCCCAGCCAGACCCACCAUGGAGCCUGGGGAUGUGGGGGACGGAAGGGACCCAGGCCAGCAAGGUCCACCAGGCCACCCUCCUGGGCAACCGCUGUGAGGCAGGAUGGCUCUCCAGGACUCAAAGCGCACCCAGGGGGGAUGGCGGGGGCCACAGCAUGCACCUGAGGCGAGGCCUCGCUGCUGUGGCCACCUGCCCCGUCACCAAGCCUCCUGGGGUAGGACGACCUUAGAGCACUGCAGCAGAGCACUGACGGAGACACUGGGACAGCUCAGAGACAGACAGCGUGGGGACAAACCUGAGACCCAGUUUGAGAUGAGGACUGAAUGUACUUUGAGAGACUCUGAUAUUAGGGUAUGGAUUCAUCUUUCUGUAGGAACUUAAUGGCAUGGAUCGAUUUUUUUUUCCAGGAGCAUGUGCUAGUAAAUAAAAUAACAGUUUAAAAACCAGUCUAGCUGGCAGGCACAAAUCCCAGGGGCUCGGGUGGCUGAGGCAGGAGGGUUACAAGUUCAAAGCCAGUCUCAGCAACUUAGCAACACCCUGUCUCAGAAUUAUAAAUAAAUACAUAAAUAAAGGGCUGGGGAUACGGCUGAGUGUUAAAGCAAAACUGAGUUCAAUCCCUGGCACCAAAUACACACACACACACACACACACACACCUGCCCCCCCCUGCCCCCCCCAUGCACCGAAGCCUGUGUUCACUCCACUCAUCAACUGUGUGUCCUCCAGCAAAUAAUUUGCCAGAAACCCUUUACCUCUCCCUGAUCACCCCCCACCCCGUUUUUUCCUCUGCCUUGGUACUUGGGGACCUUUUGCUGGGCCACUAUAAGGAGUGGAAAUAGUGUACUUGGAAUCUGCAGCUCAGGAUCAGCCUGAGAGCAGCUGUUAGGUAAAUGUCAAACAGGGCACGAGAGCUACCUGGGUGGCUUCCCCACCCAAGAAGGGACCUCACCUGUGGAUAAAUCCAUGUGUCGCUCUGUGUGGGCGAGGGGUGCCUAGCUGAAACAUUCUGGGCAUGCUGGAGGGUGUUUCUGGAUGAGAUUAGCAUUUGACUCACAGACUAAGCAAAGCAGAUGGGCCUCCUGGGUGGGGACCUCACUUCAUCCAUUGAGGCCUCAAUGGAGAAAGGGGAGAAAAGUCCGAGGGAUUCUGCUCCUUUCUUUCCCGCCUCCUUUUCUGAGCAGAGAUGCUGCAUUUCCUCUUCCCACCCUUGGACUGAGGUCCACCUCUCCAGCACCCUUGGUUCUAGGCCUUUGACUUGAGCCAAACACCACCACAGGCUUCUCUGGGUCUCCCAUGGCUCCGAGGCAGCGGAUCUUGGGACUUCUCCUUAAUAGAGCAGUCGGGUCCCCAGCACUCACUCCUUGCUCUCUGUACGUCCUCUCGGUUCUGGUUCUGUGUUUCUGGAGAACCCUGACCAACGGGGCGUGAUGGGGAAAGAUGGUCCACAUGUGUGCCUGGCUGGGUCCUGGCUUUCCUCAGACCAUGUGGCCCUGUGCUCUGCCCAGGUUCUUGGGGCAACAGAGGGGAGGAAGAAGGGAGGAAGACACACUGUGGAGGGCAGAGGCACCUGCUGCAGGGCUCACGGGGCAGCGCGUGGUGGCCGAGCUGUGUGGGAGGCAGUGGGCAGGAAACCGAGAGGGCUGGGGGCUAGGAGGACAGGGAGAAUGCAUCUCCUGUUGGUCACAGUCCUUCUGGGUGCUCAGACACCAGCAGACCAGGCUUGGGUUAUGCUGAAUACCCUUCCGUGAUCGAGCCGUCGGAAUCAGCACCCAGUCCAUGCACAAGGGCCCUUUCCUUAGACCACAGUGCAGCCACCACACCACAGACCAAAUGCUGAAGCCUUCAUACAGCAUAGAAUGGAAACUUCCAGAAUGGUGAACAGCUUGGUGAGCAGGUCAGUGUGGGCCGGCACUCCAAAUGUGGGUGUCCUUGGAAAGGAGAGGUCGGGACUACUUUUGUAUCUUUUCUCAACAAACUCAUUCAUUCUUAGAGAUAACUGUAUGCAAACCAGGAACAAGGGGCUUCCUGAAUCACCAUGAAGUCCUGGCUUUACUUGGAAGGAGAGGAUGUCCCCACAGAGGGAUGGGGAGACUUUGAUUCCCCAGAAGAAGAGCUGAUUGAUCUUUGCAUGUCUGACCAGUGUGGCUGGAAAGUGCACGUGAGGUCCUCUGGCCCCACUGAGGGUGUCCUUGCCCCAGCUCUGGCUGCCAGCAGGGGCCUACCUUGGCUCCCUCCUCAGUGCCAUCCUGAAUCCUGAAACCUAUGAUGUCACAGGCAUCCUUGUUCUCUGAAGCCACCUGCUGUGGCCUGAAUGUUUGUAUCCCCCCACCCCCAAAUUCAGGUGUUGAAAUCUAAACCCCCAGCAUGAUAGUAUGAGCAGGUGGAGGCUUUGGGAGGUCCUCAGGUGGAGGGUGGAGGCCCACAGGUGGGAUCAGUGUCCAUGUAAGAGGUAGCCCCAGAGCGGCCUGGUCUCUUCCGUCAUGAGAAGACUCAGUGAGUAGACACCGUCUUUGAAUCAGGAAGCAGAUUCUCACCUGAUGUGGAACGUGCUGACACCUUGUCCUUAGAUUUCUCAGCUUCCAGAACUGUGAGAAAUACCUUUCCAUUGUUCUGCUGUAGCAGCCUGAACAGACUGACCUCCCCUCCUACCCUCUCCAGGCCUCUAGCCAGGGACCGUUCUGUGCUUUUGUGGGUUCACAUAAUUGACUGGACUUGCCUGGAUGACCCAGGAUAAUGUCCCUAUUUUCAAGUCCCUGCCCCGGUUACACCUGCAGAGUCUCUUCUGCCAUCCAAUAGAACACAUUCCAGGUUCCAGGUCCCAGGUCCCAGGGCGUGGGCAUCUUUGGGGCAUGCCACCUCAGACUGGGGAGAGAGAGCAUUUGUUGGGGACAGGGAGCCCAAACCACCACAGCUUCUGCAGGAGCCCCGGCACCUUCCACUGCAGGGGGAAGGAGGGCCCUCCAUGGAGCCUGCUCUCCAGAUGUGAUGGAGGAACUGUGACUAACAGCGCUUGUUUUGAUUUGUGCUGUCCCUGAAGAAUGGACAUAAUCGGAUGGAUUUUUCAGUGAAAAUACCACUAAGACCAUGGGCUAGAUCCCUAGUGCACCAUGUCUUCAAAAAAAUGGUCAUUUUGAAAUGACAGGCACCUUUCCUUAAGAUAUCCUAGAAACCCAGAGUAAAGUCAAGGAUCUGCGAGAACACCCGAGUGGACGUUCUAUGUGAAGAGGAAUGAGAGGUGCUCACCCUGGGGAAGCAUCCCAGUCUUCAGUGUGUUCGUUUUGAUAAGAUUCACUUUAAAAAGGCUCAGAACCCACAAGCUCCACGUGUGGUCAAACUGCUGCAGAGAGCAGGGGUGACGUACGAGGUGAAGGAAACAGAAGUCUUGUGGUUCUGUAGCUGGUUUCAUGAUGAGUGAUGAUAUUUCUCUAGAAAAACUGCAAUCCGUUAUGCCAUGAUGGUGCACAGCUUCAAUGCCACCGUGGCCUGGCACCUGACUUCAGGGAUGUGCUGACUUUCUGUUCCAAGUUCAAGGUCACAGCCCAGUGGUGUGUGUGUGUGUGUGUUUGGGGAGUAUCUUCCAGUUAUCCACUACAGGCUGUGGGUACAGCUCAGUGGUUGAGGGCUUGCCUAGCAUGUGGGCUCCAUUUCUAGUCCUCCUCCUCCCCAAAAGACACCCUGUUAGCCACUGCUGUGUAAUAAAUUGCCCAAGAUGUAGUGAUGUACAGACACCAUUUCAUUGUUCUGAGCUCCAUGAGUUUUGUGGGACUAGUCAGACAACUCUGCUGGUCCCCCUUGGGAUCCUCCCUGUUAGUGGUUCAAUGGCAACAGGGCUGAUCACCAGGGAAAUGCUGUGCCUCUCUUUCCCUCUGUAGUCCUAAGGCCUCUCUGUGCAGUCUCUCUAGCAGGUAGAACGACUUUUCAAAUCAGGAAUUGUCAAACUUUUCUGUCAAGAGCCAACUAUUUGAGCUUUGUAGGUCAUGUGGUCUUGUCACCCACGUUUCUCUCUCUCUUAUUGUGACACAGCCAUACACAGUGCAAGAAGGUGGUCAUGGCCGGCCAGGAUGACACUUUAUUCACAACAACAGGCAGUGGGCUAGAUUUGGCCUGCUUCCAGGGUGGCUCCAGAGUCUCAAGGGCACAAGAGCAGUCACCCCCUCUGUGAGCACCCAGCACAGUCCAGGCAGAGUCACCAGCGCACUUGGCUGGCUAAAGUAGGUUACAGGUUCAUUCCAGAUGCGACACUGGGGGAGCAGGGGGAUGGGUGUGGGGGAGGAAAGCAUUUCCUCUACCCUCUUAGGUUCUGUGUCUGUGACCCUGUCAAUUAAAUCGGUAAGAGAUAAACCAGAGAGAAUUUUACUUGAAGUUAAUAUUUUAUCAACAAAUAUAUAUUAAAAAAUUAAAUCACAUUUGAUGUUAAUAGUUUAAUUCUACUUAUCAGAGAUAUCACAGAAAAAGAAAUGAAAACCCCAAGAAGCAGUUAGAUCUGACACCUUCUUGGCCGUUUUAACAAAGUGGUAUAUUCUGGGGCGGCAAGUCCUGACCCCCUAUCAGCAGUUCCAGAGAAGGGGUUAUGAGGAUUUGGGGGUUCACCGGGGCUGUCCUUGGGGAAACACUCCUACGGGGGAGUGAGAGAUAUCAGAUUCCACUUGGCUUUUGUAUCGGUCUUGAAGGAGACAUUAGUGCAUGCGUUCUUAUUUCAACCAAGGAACAGAAUUCACCUUUUGAAAUGGACAUUUUACAAGCUUGAGGUACAUUUCACUCGUGAGCUGCUAGAAUGACAGUACCAGGGCUCAGUUGCUUUCUGCUUCUGCUACUCCACCAAGGUGGAGAAAAGCCUCAUUCCAAGGAUUCAGUGGAGGGACAUCUGUCGCCUCUCUUUCAUUGUUUUUACUUCUGAAUACAGGAAACAGAGAUGUCAUGUGACAAUGAGGAGGCAGGGAUGUAGUUCCCGGCCAACGUGAAACACGCCAUGUUGGGGUUGGACUGGCUUUGCAGUCCGUGUUUCUUGGUUUUCCUGUUACCCAGGAGCCCAGGGCUACUGCCCUGAUAAAGGUGUGCUUCAGUACCUGCAGGCAGAGGCAUUAUCUGUGAUGCAGCUUCUCCUGCCCACCCAGGACACUGCCAGGAACCUCCUCCACAAUCCCAUAGGAGCCUGUUACAUAAAAAUAACAGGAGGCCGUUGUUUUGGAUGAGGCUCCUGCCCUGGGCCCCAUCAGACCAGUCAAAAAAUCAAAAUGGUGUCACUCAUACUAAAGUUCCCUGUCACCAGGCUGAAACUCAGCUGUUCUCUGACUUUCCAAGAACUCAGGAUUAGAGAGAUAACAGCCAAAUUCCCCAGACCAGCAGUUUCAAUUGGCAUGAUACUGAAGUUCUCUGUGCCUUAAUCCUUACACGAAAAUCCACCUGAAAUAACCUGAUGUGGACAGACCAGUUAUUUUCCUAUUGUUCUCUCCCCCUGUCCCUGGCUUACCAGGAAAGUAAUUUUGAAAUGAAGAUUCCACCUCCUGAGUUUUCUUUUUCUUUUUUUAAUUUUUAUUUUCUUCACCUCUUUUCUAUCUAUAAAACCAAACUCUUCUGCACAACCCAUCAGGACUGUAUUUUGCAGAACGAAGCAUUGCUUGAUUCUAGAAUUGAAAAUAAGCCAAUUAAGAUCUUUCAUCAAUGGUUGUACUUUUGUCCUUGGAGUCCUCCUGCUUUCUCCUGUUUAUUCUAGGCCUGAGAUGAUCCCCCCACACACACACCCUGCAACUCCCUUCCCCAUGAAGGUGAUCUUGCAGAUCCCAAUGCGAAUCCCCUCCUCCAGGAAACCCUUCCCCAUUCGCUUUAGUUGGAUCAAUUGCUUCUUCCUGGAAGGAAGGAAGGACGGAAGGACGGAAGGGAGGGAGGGAGGGAGGGAGGGAGGAAGGCAAGCAUGCUGUGAUGUUUCCUGGAACUGUUUCCUGGAUGCCCCAGAAACACAUUUCCAUGUGAACUUGCUAGAACACUCUGACUUUCACAGAGUCCAUAAAAUAUAACUGAAAAUUAAAAGUGAUGUUCUCUGAUCCUAAUGAUUCAUCUUUUGCCUGUGAGCAAUGCUGAACCUGGUAGAACCGUUUCUGAAAUAUGUCCCCAAGUUGUUUGCUCUCAUUUCUACUUAGGACGUUUAUGUGUGUGUGCGUGCGUGUGUGUGUGUGUGUGUAUGUGACCUGUAAACCAUCAAGUCAGCAUCGAAGGGUGCCUGUACCCACCGCUCUUCAAUUUCCCAAAAAAACUUUCUCAAUGGAUCAUUAAAAAGUUCUCUCACCUUAAAAAAAAAAAAAGAGAUCCAGAAAGGCAGAUGGCCAGGAGCAGUUUGGCCUUCCUCUGUGCAGGUGGUAAAUGGCCCUUUUACGUGGGACGAGAGUGCACUCAUGUUCUUCCUCAUCCUGUUCUGUUGGUUUGGUUUUGUAUGUGAUGAGGUUUGACCAAAGCUGCCUCCCUCUCUGCCCUGAGCUGGUGCCUGGACUGAAGCAGAGAGCACCAAGGCACAGAAGGGACUCAGAGCUCUCUAGGACGGAGGGACAUCUGCCUC
rnacentral:lncRNA from 1 species